CGUGCGAGCUGCGGCGCAGGAUUGGUCGAGGCGAAGAUUGGAGGUGGGACUCGGCGCCCGGGAAAAGCCAAGAGAGAGGCCGAAGGUCGGAAAGGAGUGGCAGGAAAGAGACAAGCCUUCCGCGCUGCUCAGAAUAGGUUGGAGUGUUGCUUGUGAUGCCGAGGAACAUGGCUGCAGCUGCUCCUGCAGGGAUGGGGUGCAUCUGUGGCCCGGGGCAUCUGUUGGGUCUAGAACAGCUGGAUCAUUGACUCUCUGGACUUGCCAACACCGACCCAUUUGACUGAAAGGGCAACAGAGAGUGGUCAAGGUGUACCCAGAGCACAGAGUCCGUAAACAAAUGGAGUUUUGUGUAGUACGAUUCACCUGGCAAAAAGGACUGUUAUUCUCCAAAUGGAAAGAGCUAUAAAGUUUAAAUGACAAAGGCAGUGCCCAAGGAGAGUUGUUGGAACGAAGCUGCAAGCAGCCCCUGGUCCCGCCCCUUGGAUGAGCCACUGCCUGCACAGUCCAGUCUGUGGGCCAGUUGCACAGGGACAGGGUGCCUGCCACCCACCUUUUCACCUUCUGGGCAGUUACUGCUCCUGCCAAGGGAAGAGCAACCCCGUCUGGCUGGAGCUGCUGACCUGACAGUCCCUGGAAGACCCCAGGUGCGGUGGCCCUCAUGGAUCCUGGACCCUGUGCUUCUCAGUCUGGUGCCGUGAACCCCAGCUGCACCAGGGAAACAGGACCUGCUGUGAGUUCUCACAAGGCCAGGAUGCCACCACUAUACACCAGGCCCACCUGUCAUGCCUUGAAGGGGAGAUGGAAGAACCCUGCAUAGGGACUGCUUACGCCGUGAAGCCGUUGACCAUGUGCGCGUAUCUCAGGAUCAUCAGGUCCAGCCAGCCGC